rnacentral:sRNA from 1 species
UUUUGCUUUGUGUUUUUGUUUCUUCUCUCAGCGCUUGACGUGAACGGACGUCGCCGCGUCGUCUUCGUUGUCGUCGUCGCCGCUCGCGUGUGUGUGUGUGUGUAAUAUACCAUUUUUUUCGGGGCGAGAAUAAAACGUUUCUAUACUUAUACAAUAAAUUUGUAAAAAAAGCAACAAAGUUCAAACGCGAGUGCGACAGCAUUGUGUUUGAUAACUACAAUUUAUAAUAUAUAAUAAGAGAAAUAAUUACCGCCUGAAACAACGAAAAAAUAUACAUAGUUCAUAAAUAAUAAAGUUAAUUAUAGUGUUUAUAAAGUGAACUGGCGGUUUCAGCAAAACACUCCUUCCCCCCACUACUACACCUCCCCACUACUUUCGCAUGUGGCAUGUUUUUACAGCUCGCGUGCCGCCAAAAAAAGUGUUUAUGAAAACGGAAUCCACCAAAUACAACGAAUGGAAUAGGAUCCAACAACUUUUAAAAGAUUGAACGAAGAGUGUGAGAGGCGUCGGCUGACAGAAAGAAGCAGCCAUAAGAAAAAAAAAAUAUAAAAAAAAAACAGCAGCAGCAGCAAUAGGAAGAAGUGAGAAGGAAGUCAAAGCCGGCAGAGCAGAGGAAUAGCAUUUCGAAGCCGGCAAAGAAGCAGCAGGCGAAAAAGGAAGCUGAGAAGGGAGCAGAGCAGCAGCAGCUGAGCCGGCAGAGAAAUAACAGCAAAAAAGGGACAGAAGCAGCAGCCGGCAGAGCGCUGACUGCGCAAAAAAUACUCGAACAAAAAAAAAAACAUUUUGUACAUAAAAAAAAUGCAUGACAACGGUAAAUGGCAAACCAUGCGUACCCUGGAACGCAGUGGAAUGAAACCAAGAAACAGUUGGAAUGCCAGCAGCGAUCUUUAAAUGCGAAAAAAAGUGGAGGCAUUUCCCGGAGACGACGAAAACCUAUCGAUGAAGAAAAUGUUGCUGAACAUUGAGGAAAAUGCAUCGUUUUCUUAGCAUACAGCAAAAUAUUAAAUUACGCAACUAUCAUCAGUUACUUUUGUAUUUUGGGGCAUUACCAACACUGGCUGCCACUGCUGCUGGAGGUGGAGGACGAAGGAAGAAGGGUACGACGAAGAGAACGGGCAGAGGAAGUCGCAGAGGAAGGAUCUGCAGAAGCAGAAGGAUAGCAGAAGGCGAAAGAAGAGCUGGAAGGAAACAGAAGCAGCAGCAGCAGCAGCAGAAGCAUCUAAAGAGCAGCUACAUAACGUAACAAUAAACGUAACGCA